rnacentral:rRNA from 1 species
AGACAGAGGUGGCAAGCGUUGUUCGGAUUUACUGGGCGUAAAGAGCAUGUAGGCGGUUAGAUUAGUCAGUUGUGAAAUCCUAUGGCUUAACCAUAGAAUUGCAUCUGAUACUGUCUAGCUAGAGUGCAGGAGAGGAGAGUGGAAUUUCCAGUGUAGCGGUGAAAUGCGUAGAUAUUGGAAGGAACACCGGUGGCGAAGGCGGCUCUCUGGUCUGUAACUGACGCUGAGAUGCGAAAGCGUGGGUAGCAAACAGGAUUAGAUACCCCAGUAGUCC